AGAUGAGGGAGAUGGGGGAAAGAAUGGCCCUGUCCUCAGCCUCCAAGACUCCCCUUUGCUCCAGCUCUGGCCCGCCACCCUAAGGCUAGUCUCCUAGGCUCCUCAGCCAGCAGGUACCCGGUGGCGAGCCCCGCGACGCGUCGCAGGCAGCUCCACGCUCGCUCGCUCCAGCCCCCGCCCCCCUGCUCUUGCGCCCCGCCAGCGCCGCUCCGCCAGCCGCUUGGCGCACCUAGCCUUAAAGCCUGAGCCAGCUACUCAGAAGUCCUGUUGAGAAUGACCCUCACCCAUCUGGCCUUCUAUCUGCUCAGGGGAAUGCUGAUGCUGUGUGGAAGCUUCCAGCUGUGCUUCUCCAGUUAAAGCCAAGGCCAUCCUCUUACUGCAAGACUUCAGAGGCUCUGCUCCAUGAGGUCGUGAAAGGCACCAGGAUCAUCACCAUGCAGCUGUUCUAUGAUGCCCAAGGUCCACCUGUGGCCAUUUCCCAGCUAUGGAAAGGGGUCGGAGGAAGAGAGAACAGUGGCCACUACUCAGCACUGCCGAUGGCAUGGUGUUGCUUCUUUAGUACCCAUGGCAUUAGUCACAAUGCUCAGACCCAGCUUCCAAGGAGGCUGAUGGAUGCCCUCCCUGGUUUGAGGCUCAUUAGCCUACUUUCCAUCACUGUGACAUGUUACCAAAGCUGGGCAACUCUGUCGGGAAAAGAGGCUCCUUAGCUCUCAGUUAUACGGGCUCAAGGACCACAUGACCUUCUUGCUGAAAGAGUCCUGAGGUGGUGCAGGGUGUGGGAUGUUGGGUGACAGGCACUGUAUGAUUGAGUGUUCUGCUCUGUCCCUCUUAUAAAGCCACUAGGAUUCAACUGUGAGGCUCUAUUCUGAUCACUGUAGCUAAUCCCACCUACUCUUAAAUACCACAGUGGAGUAAGAUUCCCCCUUUACUAUUCACAGAGGGAUUCAGCUCCAACACCAGAAGCCCCAGAGGCCCAGAGCCUCUCCCAAGCACUCUGCUGAUGCUGUGGGGUAAGUGGGUCUUGCUGGCAAACAGAAAUGAGGUGGGCAUUGAGGAACACAUAGUCAAGCUGUAAAAACUCAGGUCCCCGUUCCCAUGCCCGCCACUUCCCACUCGAUGCUCAGCUUGCCAGGCUCUUUCCCCGUCCUUUGGGCUACAAUUCUUUGAGAAUGGGAUCUGAUCUGAUCUCAGAAGUCCACAUCUGGUCAGUCAGUUAGUGCCAACCGACUGAGCAGUUGUGGCCUUCUAUGUCCUGGGGACCUGGGUGGGAAGGCCUACCCACACCUUGCUCUUGGACUAAUAUGACUCAUUGGCUGCUGAUCUCACUUAGAUCACAAGGACUCUGAACUGGGUGCAGCUUAGGUCUCAACAGACCCUCCUCCAGAGGUCUUCUCACGGGCCAUCAUGUACCCUUUCCACUUCUCCGAGAGUAUAUCCUAGGCCCCCCUAACAAAUUUCCUGGACACCUCUGGCUUAGACCUCCUCACUAAAACCAGCAUCUUUGGCUGCUUGACUUCUGCUCCCAUCUUCCAAACAUGCUAGCACUUUCAGUACCCAAACUCAGUUCCUUGGAGAACAUGCUACAUAGAGAAUAUGCUGCACACAGAAUGUGCUCCACGGAGUGCAUGUCAAGACUCACUGAAAGCAGAGCCUGGGACAAGACUUUGGAGAAAAUCCUUCACCUGGGAGGUAAUCCCAGAAGUCAGGACUGAGAGAGGAGGAACAGAGAGAUGAUGAUGGAAAUUCUUUCCAUAGGGGUUCCUGAGGGCUCACUGAAGGGAUGGGGUGCUCUCAGAACAAUAGGCUAUUUCUAGAAUUGCCUCCAUCAGGAAGGAGGGUUGGCGACCUGCCUUCUCUUCUAGGUAGAGGUUGCUUGUGGGAAGGGAUCUGCUUCCCUGCAGAGGGUUGCUUCAGGCAGUCAGGGAGGAGCUCUCCAGCCUGCCCAUGGCUCAAAGACAAACAGACUCGCAAGUCCACACUGGGAAGGGAUAUCUGUCAGGUUCAAUUCUCUAUAAUUUACGCCAUGGGGAGGGGUUCACGUUCAUUUUCUAUAUGAAAUAUAACUUCAUACAAUUCUA